GGAUCAACAAGGAUGUUGAUCCAGGAACAUGUUGUACUUGGUCAAAUCACGUUCACCCUCAGGGUCCAUACAUUGCAACUAUCGGUAUUUUAUUUAUAUUGCAAGAUGUUAUUCUUCAAGGUAAAUUUAGCAGAUGUUUACCUACAUUUAGAUGUUUUGUUGUAACUUCUUCACUGCUGUACUUCGAUAUUCAGACUCAAUCCUCAGGCAGUUUCCUUCACUGAUGUUGGAAAACACACACAU